CUAGGUCAUAGCCAAAGGUCCAGGUUUUGUUGGUUCAUGUUUGGGUCACAGUUUCUGAGUUUCUGAAUCAUCCUAUCCCUGUUUGUCUUACAGUGCAAAGAAAGGAGGUACAGGCCCGAGCUGUGUUCUACCACCCUCUUAGGGUUGGGAGGAGCUGUGAACAUGUGCUAUCGAACCCUCUACAUCGGGACAGGAGCUGACAUGGAUGUGUGCCUUACAAACUAUGGUCACUGUAACUACGUGUCCGGGAAACAUGCCUGCAUAUUUUACGAUGAGAAUACCAAACAUUAUGAGCUGUUAAACUACAGUGAGCAUGGGACAAACGGUGGACAAUGUGCUGUAUUCGUGUGACUUCUCUGAGAAGACCCCGCCAACCCCCCCAAGCAGUAUUGUUGCCAAAGUGCAGAGUGUCAUCAGGCGCCGCCGCCAACCAGAAACAGGAUGAAGAGCCAAGUGAGGAGGCAGCCAUGAUGAGUUCCCAGGCCCAGGGGCCACCACGGAGACCUGCAAUUGCAAAGCCAGCAGCUCAAGCUUGAUUGGGGGCAGUGGGGCCGGCUGGGAGGGCCACGGCCUUACUGCACCAUGGCAGCUACAUCAAGCUGGGCUGCCUGCAAUUUGUCUUCAGCAUCACUGAGUUUGCGACCAAACAGCCCAAAGGCGAUGCCAGCCUGCUGCAGGAUGGGGUCUUGGCGGAAAAGCUGUCUCUCAAGCCCCACCAGGGCCCUGUGCUGCGCUCCAACUCCGUUCCUUAGGGCUGGUGACUAACCUUCCACCAACCUGUACACCCACCCAAGACUCCUGCAAUGCAAAAAUGUACACAAACCAAGCCCGGGUGUUUUCUAUACUCUACCAGAAACCCUUCAACUACAAUCUUUGCAUGAAAUGAAGAAAACCUUUUGACUUUUUUAAAAAAUCCUUUUUCUUUUCUCAAGUUCUAGGGGGCAUUUGCACAUAUAUUUGUACUCAACAUUUCAUGGGAAAGCGGCAGACCCGAGCUGAGGAACAGCGUGGGCAGGGAGGGGAAGAUCCAUGACCUGGACACUUCCUCCAACACAAACCCUUCCCCCACUUCCUGCUCCUUCCCCCUCGCCCGCCGUUGUAAAAUAAUCAGAAACUUGUUCUAUUUUGUGGCAGUGACAAUAGUUUUAUAUUAAAAGAAAAAAUACAGUUUUCAUACAGCAAAAUCUAUACAAUAUCAUUGUUUUAUUUAAUAUAAAGAUCGCUACCCACCCUCUUUCCAUGGUUCCCACCCUCCAAGUUAUUUUCCCUUUCUGCAGCGGUUGCACUACAGGUAGCUACUGU
rnacentral:lncRNA from 1 species